rnacentral:snoRNA from 1 species
AUGCUUUGCUUAAUUAUAAUUUGUGUCACUUUGUUGUGUGAUACUCUACAAGUGAAGCUAGAAGCAUUGUUCCUCUCGCUAUCCUUUGCUCCUUUUUUUGGUGUAUUUGGACGUUGGGGAACUACAUUA